rnacentral:lncRNA from 1 species
UCGCCAAACGCAAGGGAUAGUGAAUGGCAUACGCGACUGCGAAUCCUGCGAAUGUAUGUGCUACCAUUUGAAUUUUACGCGAGUGACUGCGACUUGCGUGCGGGACUGCGAACUGUACGGCCAACCGUGCAAUACAAAAGCUUUACAAUAGCAGUACACGAGCUGUACAAUAUGCAAAGUGCACCGCCGUUGCACAUGACCUGCAGGUUCACAGCUGUGAACCACAGCACUCACUGCUUUCUUCAUACAUUUGAACUAUCCCUGAAUGACAGGUACGAAUUCAUAGCAAAUCCUAACAUGACCGAUGCAACUCAGCCAGCAACUCUUACCAUGGAAAAGGGUCCAACAGUCUAACGUCAGAAAAAAUGGACACACAAAUGUUAAGCGCAUGUAAAUGUACCACAAUACAGCCACUAUUGUCUUCUUAUUAAAGCGCUCAAUCCUCGCCUCCGCUGAUGUCAUCUUCACGAACGACGGCAUAUAUCUGCAUAUCAAAGGAUCACAACAAAUCAUUGUUUAGGCAGGAAAACAUAGUUGUGAGCAUGUUACGUACAAUGACGGCUGUAGGUGUAACACCGGCGUAACGUGCCACGAAAUAAGGCAAUAAAAAGCAUUUAGUUAAUAGCCAUGGUCUUGCAACCAGAGGCUUCAUACCUCCGAACGGCCGCUUCGUGGCCUGCCACGUCCCGUUUGAGCCCGACUCUUGUUCAUAUCCUUACCACCAUCCUUGCGCUUGUCCUAUUCCUUGCGAUUCUCCUGCUCGUGUCCUUGGAAUGUAAAAUGACAAGGCAUAAUGUCAGUGUAUGCACCUGCAUGAUGGCCACUUACUGCCGGUGGCGUCUAGUCCCCCUUUUCCUGCUUUCCCCUGCUUGCCUGCGAAUGAAUGCUGCGCCAUUAUAAAGACAGAUUCUUGUUAAGCAGCCCCUCGCACAAAUGUGUCCGGUCGUACUUCGCGAAUAAAAGGUCCGUACAUCACGCCCCAAAAGCCAGGAGCGAAUUUCACCGCGCGGGUGCGCGCGUGCGAUUCGCAAAAUGCGCGUGUACAAGUGUAUAUAAAUUUUCUUAGAAGAAAGGCCN